GACAGAGGGUGCAAACGUUGCUCGGAAUUACUGGGCGAAAGCGCGUGUAGGCGGACCAAUAAGUCGGGCGUGAAAUCCCUGGGCUCAACCCAGGAACUGCACCUGAAACUGUUGGUCUUUGAGUAGUGGAGAGGAAAGCAGAAUUCCUGGUGUAGAGGUGAAAUUCGUAGAUAUCAGGAGGAACACGGUGGCGAAGGCGGCUCACUGGCCCGGUAC
rnacentral:rRNA from 1 species